rnacentral:rRNA from 1 species
GCGAAGAGGUCACACCCGUUCCCAUACCGAACACGGAAGUUAAGCUCUUCAGCGCCGAUGGUAGUUGGGGGCUGUCCCCCUGCAAGAGUAGGACGUUGCCAAGC